rnacentral:rRNA from 1 species
UGGAAUAACACGAGGAAACUUGUGCUAAUACCGGAUAAGUCUUUACGGAGAAAGCUUUAUGCACCAUUGGAUGAGCCUGCACUUGAUUAGUUUGUUGGUGGGGUAAUGGCCUACCAAGACUUUGAUCAAUAGCUGAUUUGAGAGGAUGAUCAGCCACAUUGGGACUGAGACACGGCCCAAACUCCUACGGGAGGCAGCAGUGGGGAAUCUUGCACAAUGGAGGAAACUCUGAUGCAGCGAUGCCGCGUGAGUGAAGAAGGCCUUUGGGUUGUAAAGCUCUUUCGUCGGGGAAGAAAAUGACUGUACCCGAAUAAGAAGGUCCGGCUAACUUCGUGCCAGCAGCCGCGGUAAUACGAAGGGACCUAGCGUAGUUCGGAAUUACUGGGCUUAAAGAGUUCGUAGGUGGUUGAAAAAGUUGGUGGUGAAAUCCCAGAGCUUAACUCUGGAACUGCCAUCAAAACUUUUCAGCUAGAGUUUGAUAGAGGAAAGCAGAAUUUCUAGUGUAGAGGUGAAAUUCGUAGAUAUUAGAAAGAAUACCAAUUGCGAAGGCAGCUUUCUGGAUCAUUUACUGACACUGAGGAACGAAAGCAUGGGUAGCGAAGAGGAUUAGAUACCCUCGUAGUCCAUGCCGUAAACGAUG